rnacentral:rRNA from 1 species
GACGUAGGGCGCAAGCGUUGUCCGGAUUUAUUGGGCGUAAAGAGCUCGUAGGCGGCUUGUUGCGUCGGCUGUGAAAACCCGCGGCUUAACUGUGGGCUUGCAGCCGAUACGGGCGGGCUGGAGUUCGGUAGGGGAGACUGGAAUUCCUGGUGUAGCGGUGAAAUGCGCAGAUAUCAGGAGGAACACCGGUGGCGAAGGCAGG